AACACGUGAGUAACCUGCCCCUGACUCUGGGAUAAGCCCGGGAAACUGGGUCUAAUACUAGAUAUGCACCGUGGACCGCAUGGUCCUUGGUGGAAAGAUUUUUUGGUCAGGGAUGGACUCGCGGCCUAUCAGCUUGUUGGUGAGGUAAUGGCUCACCAAGGCGACGACGGGUAGCCGGCCUGAGAGGGUGACCGGCCACACUGGGACUGAGACACGGCCCAGACUCCUACGGGAGGCAGCAGUGGGGAAUAUUGCACAAUGGGCGAAAGCCUGAUGCAGCGACGCCGCGUGAGGGAUGACGGCCUUCGGGUUGUAAACCUCUUUCAGUAGGGAAGAAGCGAAAGUGACGGUACCUGCAGAAGAAGCGCCGGCUAACUACGUGCCAGCAGCCGCGGUAAUACGUAGGGCGCAAGCGUUAUCCGGAAUUAUUGGGCGUAAAGAGCUCGUAGGCGGUUUGUCGCGUCUGCCGUGAAAGUCCGGGGCUCAACCCCGGAUCUGCGGUGGGUACGGGCAGACUAGAGUGAUGUAGGGGAGACUGGAAUUCCUGGUGUAGCGGUGAAAUGCGCAGAUAUCAGGAGG
rnacentral:rRNA from 1 species